CCUGGCGGCAGCUUACCAUGCAAGUCGAACGAGGUUAGGGAGCUUGCUCCUGAUACCUAGUGGCGAACGGGUGAGUAAUGCUUAGGAAUCUGCCUAGUAGUGGGGGAUAACUAUCCGGAAGGAUAGCUAAUACCGCAUACGACCUACGGGUGAAAGGGGGCUUUUAGCUCUCGCUAUUAGAUGAGCCUAAGUCGGAUUAGCUAGUUGGUGGGGUAAAGGCCUACCAAGGCGACGAUCUGUAGCUGGUCUGAGAGGAUGAUCAGCCACACUGGGACUGAGACACGGCCCAGACUCCUACGGGAGGCAGCAGUGGGGAAUAUUGGACAAUGGGCGAAAGCCUGAUCCAGCCAUGCCGCGUGUGUGAAGAAGGCCUUUUGGUUGUAAAGCACUUUAAGUAGGGAGGAAAAGCUUGUGGUUAAUACCCACAAGCCCUGACGUUACCUACAGAAUAAGCACCGGCUAACUCUGUGCCAGCAGCCGCGGUAAU
rnacentral:rRNA from 1 species